GACCUAUCAGCUUUCGACGGUAGUGUAUUGGACUACCGUGGCAGUGACGGGUAACGGGGAAUUAGGGUUCGAUUCCGGAGAGGGAGCCUGAGAAACGGCUACCACAUCUAAGGAAGGCAGCAGGCGCGCAAAUUACCCAAUCCUGACUCAGGGAGGUAGUGACAAGAAAUAACAACACUGGAAAUUUUAUUUCUAGUGAUUGGAAUGAUGGGAAUCUAAACCCCUUUCAGAGUAACAAUUGGAGGGCAAGUCUGGUGCCAGCAGCCGCGGUAAUUCCAGCUCCAAUAGCGUAUAUUAAAGUUGUUGCAGUUAAAAAGCUCGUAGUUGGAUAUCUGCUGGAAGCAAUCAGUCCGCCUUAUUUAGGGUGUGCACUUGAUGAAUUCUGGCAUCUAUUAUUCCUAAUAUACUAAUGACUUUCAGUAGUCAUCAGUGUUAGGAAUAAUACAGUUACUUUGAGAAAAUUAGAGUGCUUGAAGCAGGCUUAUUGCCUUGAAUACUGCAGC
rnacentral:rRNA from 1 species